rnacentral:pre_miRNA from 1 species
AGUGGGAUAACUGGGUCAAAUGGUGGUUUCAUUCCUAGUUUUCUGAGAAAUCUCCAUACUGCUUUCCAUAGUGAUUCUACCAAUUUUCAGUCCCACCAGCAAU